CCUACGGGAGGCAGCAGUGAGGAAUAUUGGUCAAUGGACGCAAGUCUGAACCAGCCAUGCCGCGUGCAGGAUGACGGCUCUAUGAGUUGUAAACUGCUUUUGUACGAGGGUAAACCCCGAUACGUGUAUCGGGUUGAAAGUAUCGUACGAAUAAGGAUCGGCUAACUCCGUGCCAGCAGCCGCGGUAAUACGGAGGAGCCGAGCGUUAUGCGGAUUUAUUGGGUUUACAGGGUGCGUAGGCGGUUUGAUAAGUUAGAGGUGAAAUGUCGGGGCUCAACCCCGAAACUGCCUCUCAUACUGUUGGACUAGAGCAUAGUUGCGGUAGGCGGAAUGUCUUGUUUAGCGGUGCAAUGCUUAGAGAUCAUCC
rnacentral:rRNA from 1 species